GAACGAAAAGGGCAAACCCAGCGAAAGCUGGCGACGCAAAGUCUGGAGUCUAAAGUGAAUAGAAAGCCAAUUUCUAUUUUUACAAAGAUCGUCCGACUGCCAAA
rnacentral:ncRNA from 1 species